ensembl:misc_RNA
ACCACCUCUGCACGUUUCAGGACCAGAACUCCAGCAGGUUCUAAUUUCAUCUCCUAACCUUGCAUUUUUCUGUUCCGUUUUGGGUCCAUCCAGUGGUCUUCUUUUCAUCGCAGGUUUAUAGUAAAAG